AGAGUUUGAGUAUCCUUGGCUUAAGGAUAGACAGCUUGGCGGCGUGGCGCUAACACAUUGCAAGUCGAACUGACGGCUUUCUUGUCACCGUUAACGGGAGUAGAUUGGUACCUGAGCGCGCGGAUACGGGGUAGAGUAGCACGUAGUGGCAGACCUACCCUUCUGAGGAGGGACAACUCCGNCAAACCUGGAGGCUAAUAUCACAGCAUUCCGUGUGCACCGUUCGCUAUGGAUGGUGCAAGAACAGCAGCGACAUGCGCAGGAGGAUGGGCCCCGCCGGACUAUCNANCUAGUUGGUGGNGCUAACGGNACUACCAAUGCGAACACGGGCUAGCUGGUGCUGAGAGGACNACCAGCCACNCGAGACGUACUGCGACACGGCACACGUACUACUACGAGGAGGCAGCAGUGAGAGAAUCGUUCCGCUGAUGCGGACGAACAGUCGCUGACGGCAGACAACGCCGCGUGUGAGUGGAUGAAUGUAUUUGCAGGUGAUGUACAACCACUGUACGNCAGGNGGAAGACCACACGGACGGGGACNCACUCGCACAGGAAAGCCCCGGCUAACUACGUNGCCNNCANACGCGGUCAAUA
rnacentral:rRNA from 1 species